rnacentral:rRNA from 1 species
CCUACGGGAGGCAGCAGUGGGGAAUAUUGGACAAUGGGGGGAACCCUGAUCCAGCCAUGCCGCGUGUGUGAAGAAGGCCCUCGGGUUGUAAAGCACUUUCAGUGAGGAAGAACGCCUGGUGGUUAAUACCCAUCAGGAAAGACAUCACUCACAGAAGAAGCACCGGCUAACUCCGUGCCAGCAGCCGCGGUAAUACGGAGGGUGCGAGCGUUAAUCGGAAUUACUGGGCGUAAAGCGCGCGUAGGUGGCUUGAUAAGCCGGUUGUGAAAGCCCCGGGCUCAACCUGGGAGCGGCAUCCGGAACUGUCAAGCUAGAGUGCAGGAGAGGAAGGUAGAAUUCCCGGUGUAGCGGUGAAAUGCGUAGAGAUCGGGAGGAAUACCAGUGGCGAAGGCGGCCUUCUGGACUGACACUGACACUGAGGUGCGAAAGCGUGGGUAGCAAACAGGAUUAGAUACCCCGGUAGUC